AGUAUCCAGUCUGGAGCUAACACAGGUGCUGCAUGGCCGUCGUCAGCUCGUGCCGUGAGGUGUAUGGUUAAGUCCCACAACGAGCGCAACCCUCGUCGCUAGUUAAUUCCCUAGCGAGACCGCCUCGCAAAACGAGGAGGAAGGUGGGGAUGGCGUCAAGUCAGCAUGGCCUUUAUACCCUGGGCGACACACACGCUACAAUGGGUGGUACAGUAGGUAGCGAAGGAGCGAUCCGGAGCAAAUCUUUAAAACCAUCCUCAGUACGGAUUGCAGGCUGAAACCCGCCUGCAUGAAGCCGGAGUUGCUAGUAACCGCAUAUCAGAAUGGUGCGGUGAAUACGUUCUCGGGCCUU
rnacentral:rRNA from 1 species